AGGAUGAACGCUGGCGGCGUGCUUAACACAUGCAAGUCGAACGAUGAAGCAGAGCUUGCUCUGUGGAUUAGUGGCGAACGGGUGAGUAACACGUGAGUAACCUGCCCUUGACUCUGGAAUAAGCGUUGGAAACGACGUCUAAUACCGGAUACGAGCUUCCGCCGCAUGGUGAGGAGCUGGAAAGAAUUUCGGUCAAGGAUGGACUCGCGGCCUAUCAGGUAGUUGGUGAGGUAAUGGCUCACCAAGCCUACGACGGGUAGCCGGCCUGAGAGGGUGACCGGCCACACUGGAACUGAGACACGGUCCAGACUCCUACGGGAGGCAGCAGUGGGGAAUA
rnacentral:rRNA from 1 species